GUUUUUGUUUUUGUAAUAAAGGAGAGUUGGGGUUAUAGCUCAGUGCUUCCAUAAUACAUGAAAAAUCCUGAAUUCAGUCAAUGGCAGUGUGUAUGGAUAUAUGUUAGGGAUACAUUUCCUUAAAGGAGAGCUGUAGAAGUGUAUAACGUGAGCUAAGUGUGGUGGUUGGUACACAUGAGGAAGCAGAGGCAAGUGGAUCUCUGUGAGUCCGAGAACAGCCUGCUCUAAAUAGCUCUACAUAGCCAGGGCUACACAGCAAAACUUGUUUUGUUGAUAUAUAAAAUACAAAUAAUAUUUAAUGUAUGGGGCUUGGAAGAAACACUUUAUUCCCUGUUAAAGAGCUUUUUCAUGGACAUUCUUACAUGCUACCUUGCUUCUCAUGCGGGUGGUUUUGUGGAUGAAAUAAAAGGAUGGAUUACUGGGGUUUGGAGAGAUUGCUUAGCAGUUAGGCAGCUUGCAACCUUCCCACAAGUGCCUCCCAACCUCAUACCUCCAGGGGUUCCACUAUUUUCUGGCCUCCAAAGGCACCUAUCCUCAUGUACAUAUAUAUACACCUGAACACAGAUACACAUUAAUACAUAAAAUUAAAUUUUAAAUAAAAAGAAUAGAUUAUCCCAAUUAGUCCUAUGUGGUAUAAACCACUCCAAUUUGCAGAUAAGGAAGUUGAGACUCAAGGGUACUCACUGUACUAUUCCACUUAAUAAUGGAGAUAGUGUGUGGCAACAACUGAUAGGAGAAGCUAAAACAAAUCUAAGCUGCAUCUGUCAAAGACUUUAUCCCACGGAUUAUAAAGGUAAUUAACAGAAAUGACCUUCAUGUUCUGGCAGAGUAAGGUAAGUAAGUAAGACAACUAAUUCACACAUCUUAUGCAUGCUCUGUAGAGAAAAAGUGGGCAACAGUGUAUUGUCUAGCUAUAUGACUUCCAAAAUUAGUGAUUUAAACCAAGGAAAGUUAGGGGGUUGAUUUAGGGUAUUAUUUGUGUAUCCAUGUCAGAACCUGAUUGGCCUGGGUGUGACGGUGUGUAACUAAAAUCCUAGGACUUUGGAGGCAGAGGCAGGGGGAUCAGGAACUUAAGGGAGUUUAAAAGCAAACCUGGAUUACAUGAGACCCUGCUUCUCCUAUAGCUUUGGUUACUAUGGCCCUUGUACUGGCUGGUUUUGUGUCAACUUGACACAGCUGGAGUUAUCACAGAGAAAGGAACUUCAGUUGAGGAAAUGCCUCCAUGAGAUCCAACUGUAAGGCAUUUUCUCAAUUAGUGAUCAAGGGGGAAAGGCCCCUUGUGGGUGGUGCCAUCCCUGGGCUGGUAGUCUUGGGUUCUAUAAGAAAGCAGGCUGAACAAGCCAGGGGAAGCAAGCCAGUAAAGAACAUCCGUCCAUGGCUUCUGCAUCAGCUCCUGCUUGAGUUCCAGUCCUGACUUCCUUUGGUGAUGAACAGCACUAUGGAAGUGUAAGCUGAAUAAACCCUUUCCUCCCCA
rnacentral:lncRNA from 1 species